GCAGUUAAAAGUGUUAGUCAUUAAGAAGAUCUAUCUUCACCAUUCUCAGAAGCUAAGGUUGCUUCAGGACUGUUUCUAGCUGGCAAGAUCUGGAACAACCACAGCGUGCUUUGGCUUUAUCCUUUCUUACUGGGUACCUUAAAAUCAACAUUUCCCAUUCUAGGAAAGCAUGCAGGGUGCAUUCAUGGAGUGGCUGUGGUUGGCGAGCUUCCUCCAGACAGGGUGGUGGGAGAACUCAGGCUGCUGCCCCUGGUGCACCCUUGGUGGACCAGCGAGUUUGACCUUGGCCCCGUGGGGCAUCCUGCGUGAGGCUUUCAAAGCAUGCUUCAUGUAGGAAAUUAGUGAAGAUGGUUGGAAAUAAUCCACCUGAAGACUUGGAGGCCCUAAAGGAUGGCAAAGCCAGUUGACAGGUGGAUCCCAGGUCCAGAAAUGACUGGAGACAGGCGUUCCUUGUGGACUUGCAUUCAACUAUGAUAUGAACAGUAAAUAACCAUAUUUUGUGUCAAACCACAAAGAUUUUGGGACUACUUGUUACAACAGCAAGGAUCCAAUUUCACCGGGGAAAAUUUGACCCAGACUUAGUUUCUUAGGCUGAUUGGCGCUCCUGUUUCUCAAUGCCUAUAUU